AAAUAAAUAAAAAAUAAAUAAAUAAACCUGACAGGUGGGAGUUUGAUGCGAGUCUUGAAUAUAGUGCAGUGGAAAUAUUAAUCGCUCUUUAAUCUUCGUUAUUUCACCUCAAACGAGUUUAUAUGCGAGGCCGAUGUAAACAAGGACCCAGACCAAGACCAAGAUGGAGGAUCGAAAGCCGCUGUGGAUGUGGUGUUAGGAAUUGAAAUGUAAAGAUUCCCGGUAUAAUAGGCCACGAAGAGGGACGGAAAUAAGAGGAAUUAACUAUUUCCUGCCCCUGGAAUAGUCAAGUAGUGUGUGUGCUGGGAGGACCUGAGCCACCUCCACCCCACCCUGCCCUGACACACUGGAUCCCCACCAAACCUCUCCCUGCCCCUCCCUGUGGGGGAGGAGGAGGUCUGCGCCCCGCCCGCCCCGGCCCAAUCACCUUUCAGGCUUGGGGCAAAGGGUGCGCUGCGGCUGCCCCGCCCUGACCUGAAGGGCUUCCUGCCACAGGAGGAGGAGGAGGAGGAGGAAGAGGCGCGGGUGCCCCCCCGGGGGACACGACAGCGGCGACGACGAGCCCUCCGUCCUGCACCCCCCGGCCCCCGAGCCCCGCCCCACCCACCAUCAGCCACACCAGUCCCUACCACAGCCUCUGUCCCCCGCCCCACACCAGGAGCGACUCAGAGCUGCCCUCCGCUGCGCCCCCUGCUCCCCCUAAAGCAGCAGCAGCAAGCAGCAACAGCCACAGCAGGUGUACAGCUGGCCCUACCCUCCACAACCACAGCAGUUCCAGUACCCUUAUGAUGCAGCUGAGGGGACUGACACUGCCACCACCACCACCACCACCACUGCCACCACCGCCACAACAAGGGUUAUUCAGGUGUUGCCCCAAUAUGCUUCAACCCCACAGCCCCACUCCCCCAUGACAGUGCAGGCAGGGAAUGUCAUACAGGCUACCACCACCAUGACCACCAUGACCACCACCACCACCAUGACCACCGCCGCCACCACCACCACCACCACCACCACCACCACCACCACCACCACCACCACCACAGCACUCAGCGUGGCACAGAAGGAACAGAGCCAGGCGGAAAACAAGGACUAAGAUCCACUGCCACUUCCAAAUAAGGCUACCACCACCAUGACCACCAUGACCACCACCACCACCAUGACCACCGCCGCCACCACCACCACCACCACCACCACCACCACCACCACCACCACCACCACCACAGCACUCAGCGUGGCACAGAAGGAACAGAGCCAGGCGGAAAACAAGGACUAAGAUCCACUGCCACUUCCAAAUAAGGCUACCACCACCAUGACCACCAUGACCACCACCACCACCAUGACCACCGCCGCCACCACCACCACCACCACCACCACCACCACCACCACCACCACCACAGCACUCAGCGUGGCACAGAAGGAACAGAGCCAGGCGGAAAACAAGGACUAAGAUCCACUGCCACUUCCAAAUAAGGCUACCACCACCAUGACCACCAUGACCACCACCACCACCAUGACCACCGCCACCACCACCACCACCACCACCACCACCACCACCACCACCACCACCACCACCACCACCACCACCACCACCACCACCACCACAGCACUCAGCGUGGCACAGAAGGAACAGAGCCAGGCGGAAAACAAGGACUAAGAUCCACUGCCACUUCCAAAUAAGAGGUGAACCAGGCCAACACAAGACAGAUGGGAUGCAAGAACACUGUUGACACAUCAAUACUUCAUACAAGGCAAUAAAGCGGUAUGUAUCAUCAUGCUUUAGUGUAUGAGAGCAUUGUAUAAGCCACAACACAUACAUACACUGCCAUGUACACCC